rnacentral:lncRNA from 12 species
UUGAUAUUCAUUUGUGGAAAUUCUUUUUCCUUUGAAAGUGGUGUAGGGUCAUCCUCCAUCUGAAGAAUAAGGCAGUGAUUCAGGAGGUUCUGAGAAGUGGCCCUGAGUACCUGGGAACAGGAAGACUCACUCUGCAAUGCUGGAGAGUCCCUCUGCUGAAUGGAAGACUGAAUUGGAAAGCCAAAGAGCACAAACACUCCAGGACUUGAAGGGGAAAACAUUAGAAGGUAAGAAGGGAACUAGAACCAUGAAAGAAAAAAAGAAACUUACUUGCUAAGACCAGGGCAGCCUUGUAAAGAAAUCUGCCCCAGACUCAUUUGUUCCUCUGCCUGAAGAACAAGACACUCACCUUUG